rnacentral:tRNA from 1 species
GCCGAUGUAGCUCAGUGGUAGAGCAGGGUUUUCAUAAGACCAAGGUCGGAGGUUCGAUCCCUCCCAUCGGCA